AGGAGUGGAGAGAAUAUAACUGAAUGCUGUGUCACAAAUUUACUUUGAUCUCAUGUACCCCGUAAAUACAGACACCUACUAUGUACCAGAAAAAUUAAAAAUAAAAAUAACAAAUUCACAUUCCGCUUGUUCAUCCUGAUUCUUCAGGCCUGGCCACUGUAUCAAAGACAACAAGGAAGGCCCAUUGCCUGCCCUCAUGCUGGUUGUUCAGCCCUCCAAGAAUCAUUCUUGAUGCCCUGCAAGUACCAGGCGCUGCGCUAGGCCCUGCAGAUGCGACAACGAACGUAGAUGCUGUCCCAGCCACCCAUACUCGCUGCCGGGGGAAGAACCAGAGACGGGGGUCUCGCUAUGUUGCCCAGGCUGGUCUCAAACUCCUGACUCAAACCAUCCUCCUGCCUCAAACUCCCAAGUGCUGGGAUUACAGGUGUGAGCCACCACAUCCGGCAAGAGAAGCUGGGCCUUGGGGAAUCAGAGUGAUGCUUGGGUCCAUCCUUGGGUGCAGUGGCUCAGGAAGCAUGCGCACCCCAGAAAAGCUAGUUCCCAGGUGGCCAGAAGGAAGGAAGGAGAGGUGGCUGGCUAAAGUGACCAGCAGCAACCAGGUGGAGGCGGUGGUUGUGUGGAUCCUGGAGCAUUGUUCGGGGCUUCUGAGGUGGGCAGAAUAAUCUCCCCCGUCCCAGUAUGUCCAGGUACAAAUCUCAAGAACUGUUCUAAGAUCCCCCUGUGGAUGCCUGAAACUGCAGAGAGUACCAAGCCUGACUGCCGCCAAUCAGAAGAAGUUUCUGUUCAGGUCUUCCACCCACGAAUGUAAUGCCUUUUUCGUCUUAACUAAGCACUUAUCACGCACUGUGGUCAUCACUUUUGCAGUUUGAGGUAUAAUUAUGCAAAGCAAAGAAUCCAGGAAAGAAUUGCCAGAGAAGGAAUUAAAAAUAAGAUAUUAUGUGAAAGUACCCAUCUUGAUCCUGAAAGAAAAGAAACCAAGGGCAACAGCAGCAAUUGAACAAUCUUGAGCAUAGACAAUCAGACUCCCUGAAGUCAGUGUGAACAAAGCUAAGCUCAACCACAUAAAACAUUCUAUGUACAAUAGGCUCUCAAUCAAGUAAAUAAAGUUUAAGUUGUAAUAAAUAAAGAAAGAAAGGAAGAAAA